rfam:Gossypium hirsutum cultivar TM-1 chromosome 11, whole genome shotgun sequence
AAUCCAUGCCUAGGACAUUUCCUAAGCAGAUCUUUGAACCUUUCCCACAGUUCAUACAAUGUUUCAUCCACUAGUUGCCUGAAGGAUGUUAUGUCAUUUCUUAGUUU